GAAUUCACUAGUGAUUCAGGCCUAACACAUGCAAGUCGAACGGUAACGCGGGGCAACCUGGCGUCGAGUGGCGAACGGGUGAGUAACGCAUCGGAACGUGCCCAGUAGUGGGGAUAGCCUGGCGAAAGCCGGAUUAAUACCGCAUUCGACCUACGGGUGAAAGGGGGGGAUCGCAAGACCUCUCGCUAUUGGAGCGGCCGAUGUCAGAUUAGGUAGUUGGUGGGGUAAAGGCCUACCAAGCCGACGAUCUGUAGCUGGUUUGAGAGGACGACCAGCCACACUGGGACUGAGACACGGCCCAGACUCCUACGGGAGGCAGCAGCGGGGAAUUUUGGACAAUGGGCGAAAGCCUGAUCCAGCCAGGCCGCGUGCGGGAAGAAGGCCUUCGGGUUGUAAUCCGAUGUGGUCAGGGAAGAAAUCUUCUGGGUUAAUACCUCGGGAGGAUGACGGACCCGAAGAAUAGC
rnacentral:rRNA from 1 species